rnacentral:rRNA from 1 species
GACAGAGGCCUCAAGCGUUAGGCGGAAUCACUGGGCUUAAAGCGUGUGUAGGCGGAUCGUUAAGUGUCUUGUGAAAUCCCACGGCUCACCCGUGGAACUGCUGGGCAUACUGGCGAUCUUGGGCCAACUAGGGGCAACUGGAACAAGCGGUGGAGCGGUGAAAUGCGUAGAUAUCGCUUGGAACGCCAAAGGUGAAAACAGGUUGCUGGGGUUGUGCCG